UUUUUAUAACAAGAUAACUUUACAACAAGCAAUCAGGUAUUUACUAUGGAAUUUUUAAAAUGAGAAAUGGAUGGAUUUUCCACUAGGUGGUAGUAGAGAAUUACAAUCAAUAUUAGCCUGACCCUAUACGGCAGAAGGAAAUACUUACUAAGCUGAGAAGAAAAGGCUCUAGCUCAUUUGUAGCUACAAACGUUUAUUUAGAAGUUCAGUCUGAGGUUUCGUUGCUUCAUGAACACUACAUAACAGAUUUAUCCGUUUGAGCAAUGCUUUUCUGGCCAUGCUCUCCUAUAACCUACCUGUCUGAAAACUAGCCUGAGAUGUACUUCCAGUGAAAUUGAAGUCAUAAUACUGGGAGCCCAGCCUGGCUCUCUGUGAUGACCUAGAGGGAUGGUAUUGGGGGGGGGGGGGGNGCUCAAGAGGGAGGGGAUAUAUAUAUACAAUUAUGACUGAUUCGUGUUGAUGUACAGCUGAAACCACCACAACAUUGUAAAGCAAUUAUCCUUCAAUUUAAAAAAAAGUAUAAAAAGCUUGCUUUCUUUGGUUGCAGAAGUCUGAAAGGAUUUCUUAAAAUUAAAUAAUUAUUGAAGUUUCACUGUUAUGAUACUAUGUGAUACUAUGUCUUGUGACUUUUACUCUAAGGAGUUGAGAAAUUCAGAUAUAACAACUUUGCAUCCUGAAGGAAAGAAUUAAACUGUUGGUUGUCUCUUCCAUGGAAGAUCUAACAGAGAAACGAUAGAGGUUCAGAGACAUGGGUUUUUUUAAUCUGUUAAUUCAACCUUUCUCUCCAGGCUUAAAAGAUAAAAAAAAAAUUUUUUUAAGGACUUUUAGGAAAAAAAAGAAAAUUGAAUAAUUGAGAUGCAUUAUGGAAUAAUGGAAUCUUGAGAAGAGAUACAUACUGAUAACAUAUGUAUUUUUUCCUUAGCCAAAGUGAAAUUGCAGAAAUAUACAUUGAAUCUGCACACAUUCCUCCCCUUAAGUCUCCCUGGAUAGCGGGAGGAUGGUGUUCUGAAGGAGGAGCCUCCCACAAGUGGGCUGCAGCACCCUCGCCCUGCCGGGUCCAAGCGGGAGGGUGGGGCUCUGUGCCCUGGGCCGGGCGCCGAGCUGUGACUGGCGUUCCAGAGAGCCAAUCAUACCUUCCGACCCGAGUGGGUGGGGCCCGAGUGCGCCACGCGCGGUGGCGGAGAAUCCUCCGAACCCGGUGCUGCGGUAUCACCAGCCCGGGAGGAGCCCCGCGGGAGUCCCGCUUCUCCGCGCCUCAGACAGCCCUCCUUAAAAGUUUGCACCCGGACCCGAAGACUCGACAGAAGCGGAAGCUGCGGCUCGAAAGCCCAGGCUCCUUGGGAGAUUGCGAAAAGUCCUGGAGUGCCUGGCUGGAGGAAAAGGGCAUCCGUUCGGUGGCUGGCACACAGCUACAGAGCGCGCAGGAGACGCUUAUAGCGGGUGAAAUUGGGACGGUGAUUGUAGCCCCCAGGGAUCACCUAAGUAGGGUUCAGUUCAGUUCAGUCGCUCAGUCGUGUCCGACUCUUUGCGACCNNNNNNNNNNNNNNNNNNNNNNNNNNNNNNNNNNNNNNNNNNNNNNNNNNNNNNNNNNNNNNNNNNNNNNNNNNNNNNNNNNNNNNNNNNNNNNNNNNNCUGCCUUUCUUUAAGAUUCAUGUCAAUCGUUUUAUGGCCUGGGAUGACUCAGCUGAUGCCAAUGUUAUCUCAAAAAGCACAUUGUGGGUGAGGGGCCUGAUGCUACUCUGAGUUUUGAAACAUCUCCUUUCUCUAGUUAGCAGCUUGCUGAUAGGUAUAAAACAUAUUGUUAAAGGCUAGCAGGGCACCACUCUGUCUGCCCCCUUUGGAUGUCUAUAUCAGAAGCUUUCUCUAUCUCUUCUACACUUAAAUAAACUUUAUUACACAAAAGCUAUGAGCGAGCAAGCGUUGUCUCUGACCCCGGAUUGAAUUCCUCUCCUCUGGAGGCCAAGAAUCCUGGCGUCUUUAAUGGCUCAGCAACAACCUUUCAGUAAUGGAGCUGCAGCAUCAGCAGCAGUCCUUACAAGGAAUAUUCAGGGUGGAUUUUCUUUAAGAUUAACUGGUUUCAUCUCCUUGCAGUCCAAAGGACUCUUGAGAGUCUCCUCCAGCAGCACGGUUAGAAAGCAUCAAUUCUUAAUUGCUCAGUCUUGUUUAUGGUCUAACCUUUGCAUCUGUACAUGACUACUAGAAAACCAUAGUUUUAACUAGACUGGACUUUGUCAGCAAAGUGAUGUCUCUACUUUUUAAUAUGCUGUUUGGUCUGUCAUAGCUUUUCCUUCAAGGAGCAAGUGUCUUUUAUAUCAUGGUUUCAGUCACCACCCACAGUGAUUUUGGAGCCCUAGUAAAUAAAGUCUCUUAAUGUUUCCAUUUUUCCCCAUCUAUUUCCAUGAAGUGAUGGGACCAGAUACCAUGAUCUUCGUUUUCUGAAUG
ensembl:lncRNA